AGGACGAACGCUGGCGGCGUGCUUAACACAUGCAAGUCGAGCGGAAAGGCCCUUCGGGGUACUCGAGCGGCGAACGGGUGAGUAACACGUGAGUAAUCUGCCCCUAGCUCUGGGAUAGCUCCGGGAAACCGGGAUUAAUACCGGAUACGACCACUUUAGACAUCUGUUGUGGUGGAAAGAAUUUUGGCUAGGGAUGAGCUCGCGGCCUAUCAGCUUGUUGGUGGGGUAACGGCCUACCAAGGCGACGACGGGUAGCCGGCCUGAGAGGGCGACCGGCCACGACUGGGACUGAGACACGGCCCAGACUCCUACGGGAGGCAGCAGUGGGGAAUAUUGGACAAUGGGCGCAAGCCUGAUCCAGCCAUGCCGCGCGGAUGAUGAAGGCCUUAGGGUUGUAAAGUCCGUUUUAACGGGGAAGAUAAUGACGGUACCCGUAGAAUAAGCCCCGGCUAACUUCGUGCCAGCAGCCGC
rnacentral:rRNA from 1 species